AGGGUCAAUAACAAUCUCAAUAAGAAAAAUCCCCAAAGCAGACUGCUGUUGACUGACUUUUCAAAGUCUCUCUUUCUCAGCUCUGCUCUUCUCUGCUCUCACUUUUUACUCUCUUUCUCUGCUCGCCUGUCUUUCAUGCUGUGGCUGGUUGAUGAUUUUGGUCGCUUUCUCCACUAGGGUAUCACCUUCUAGCCACCGGUCUUAUUUACUAAAUGGCUAGCUAUGAUAAGGAUGAGGUGCCAAUGUUGUCUGACGUUCAUCCCCAGUUACUGGAUGAAAAUCCAGAUUCUCGGUUUCAGGCUUUUGUUUCAAGAACUCAGAGUGCAUCAAUCUCUAUUCCCAUGAAUACCAUGGAGUCCUAUGGAAAUGAAGCCAACCUUGUGGGCUAUACUGGUCCCUUGCGGAGUGAAAGAAGAGCUCAAAUGAAUCAGAUGAGUGGUCCAAUCUAUAGCAAUCGCAAAGCUGAUAAAAAUUUUCGACUUAACCAUGGUGUACCCAAUCGCAAAGUAGCAGAAUCCAAGGCUGAGAAGAUUCCUUCUUUUAGUAAAAUGGAUCAGCAUGAUUGGGCAGACGACAAGUAUACUGGUAAAAACGAACAUUUACUGAGGUCUGGACAGUUGGGAGUAUGCAAUGAUCCUUAUUGUACAACAUGCCCAACAUAUUACAAUUUCAAACCAGCAGAACAGAAACAUUUAACAGCAUCAGCUAUAUUUGACUCCAAGUUCCAUAAUGCUCUUUAUGGGGAUGCUAAAGGUUGGGCAACGAGAUUUACAUCUUUUCUAAAGCGAUAUAUUCCUGGAGUUAUGAAUCCUCAUACAAAAGUAGUUCAACAAUGGAACAAAUUCUGUGUCAUUUGUUGCCUGGUGGCAAUUUUUGUGGACCCUUUGUUUUUCUUCAUGUUGUCUGUGCAACAGGAAAAUAAGUGCAUAGUUAUUAAUUGGCCCCUGACAACAACCAUUAUUGUUUUUAGGAGCAUGACUGACUUCAUAUACUUAUUGAACAUACUUCUUCAGUUUAGGCUGGCUUAUAUAGCUCCUGAGUCUAGGGUGGUUGGUGCUGGAGAGUUAGUUGACCAUCCAAAGAAAAUUGCUAUGAACUACCUCUGUGGUUAUUUCUUGGUUGACUUAUUUAUCAUGUUACCGCUUCCUCAAAUUAUUAUAUUAUUGGUCUUACCAAAUGGCUUGGGAUCAUCUGGAGCAAAUUAUGCCAAGAACCUUCUACAAGCAGCAGUUCUUGUCCAAUAUGUUCCGAGGUUAUAUAGGUUCUUACCUCUUCUUGUUGGCGUGUCUCCUAGUGGCUUCAUAUUUGAGACAGCAUGGUCAAACUUUUUCAUAAAUCUUCUCACCUUUAUAUUGUCUGGCCAUGUUGUCGGGGCACUCUGGUACCUCUUUGGGUUGCAGAGGGUUAACCGGUGUCUUCGUGAUGCCUGCCGUCAUUCUAGUAUUUGGCCCGAGUGUAUGCAGUUCAUAGAUUGUGGUCAUGGGAAUAAUGUAGAACGCAAUGCUUCUAAUUCAAAGUGGAAAAAUUGGACACAGAGCAAUGUCAAUGCUAGUGCUUGUUUCACCGAAGAUGGUUUUUCAUAUGGAAUUUUUAUCCAAGCUGUUAACCUCACAACAAGGCACAGUGUUGUCACUAGAUAUGUGUAUUCAUUGUUUUGGGGAUUCCAGCAAAUCAGCACUCUUGCUGGAAAUCAGACGCCAAGUUAUUUUGUCUGGGAAGUCCUCUUUACGAUGGCCAUUGUUGGAGUUGGCCUCUUACUGUUUGCUUUUCUCAUAGGAAAUAUUCAAAACUUUCUCCAAGCACUUGGUCGAAGGAGGUUGGAAAUGUCACUAAGACGACGUGAUGUUGAGCAAUGGAUGAGCCAUCGGCGCUUACCACAAGAACUAAGAAGGAAAGUACUAGAAGCUGAAAGGUAUAACUGGGCUGCGACCAGAGGUGUGAUUGAAGGAAUGCUCUUGGAGAACUUGCCUGAAGAUCUCCAGAGGGAUAUAAGACGGCACCUCUUCAAAUUUGUUAAAAAAGUUUGGAUUUUUGCCUUGAUGGAUAAUCAUUUCUUGGAUGCCAUUUGCGAGAGACUAAAACAAAAGAUAUACAUCAAAGGCAGUGAAAUUUUGUACCAUGGUGGUCUGGUUGAGAAGAUGGUCUUUAUUGUGCGUGGAAAACUGGAAAGUAUAGGAGAAGAUGGCACUAUGUUCCCCUUAUCUGAAGGGAAUGUCUGCGGUGAGGAACUUCUCACUUGGUGUCUUGAGCGUUCUUCAGUUAGCAAAGAUGGAGUGAAAGUAAAGAUUCCUGGACAACGAUUGAUUAGCAGUAGGACAGUAAGAUGCUUGUCAAAUGUAGAAGCAUUUUCACUUCGUGCUGCAGAUCUUGAAGAAGUGACAAAUCUCUUUGCAAGAAACUUACGGGAUUCACGUGUUCAAGGAGCCAUAAGGUAUGAAUCUCCUUAUUGGAGAGGUCUUGCAGCUACACGCAUUCAAGUUGCAUGGAGAUACCGGCAGAAGCGUCUAAAGCAUAUCAGCACCUCUCGAUCAAAUCAAUCUAAAAUAUAGAGAUAAUCAACUCGAGUCCCAUUAAGAGCCUUUAUGAAGAUAUCUCCUAGUUGUUCUCUUGUCUUCACAUAACCUGUGGAAAUCGAACCUUGCUGAAUCGUUUCACGAACGAAAUGGCAGUCAAUCUCGAUAUGUUUAGUUCGUUCAUCAAAUACAUGAUUGAAUGCAAUGUGAAGCUGUUUGGUUAUCACACCACAACUUGAUAAGAAGCAUUAUUGCCGGAGAUGUUAUACUUAUGAACUUGACAGUUCUUGAAAGACAAAAGGUUCAUUUGAAAUAGCAAGAAGAGCAACAUCUUCAAGUAGAACGACAUCCGCAUAACUAAGGGGAGAAUUAUUUUGUGGUGAUUUAAGCGGAAUGCUCCAAUUGCAGCAGCAACAAUCAGGUUUUUGGGGGUGAUUUUGGUGAGGCUGUGGUCUGUAAAGCCUGACCUUGGUUCUUAGAUAAUGGAUGCUGGAGUAUUACUUCUAGUACUAAUUUGGUGGGUUUGGUCCUUGUUGGGAAUACGGAUUUUCUGUGUAAAGAAUUCUUGGUGUAGCUGAUAAUGAGAGUAUUAAGAAAAGAAAUGUUGAUAAGGUCCAAAACGAUACAAAGGCGAGGUUUCUGUGUAAAAAAGUCUUGAUUUCUUUGAUAUCAAUUUCUUUGAUUUUCUUUUCUCUGUUUCA